rnacentral:misc_RNA from 1 species
UUUCCGUAGGUGAACCUGCGGAAGGAUCAUUAAAGAGAUCAUGCCCUCACGGGUGGACCUCCCACCCUUUGUUUACAAUACCUUUGUUGCUUUGGCGGGCCCGUUUGGCCCCGCGCUGAACAACCGGCCCCGGCUGGUCAGUGCCCGCCAGAGAACCGAAAACUCUGAAUUAAAUGUCGUCUGAGUACUAUGUAAUAGUUAAAACUUUCAACAACGGAUCUCUUGGUUCUG